rnacentral:rRNA from 1 species
UACGUAGGGGGCAAGCGUUGUCCGGAUUUAUUGGGCGUAAAGCGCUCGCAGGUGGUUCAUUGCGUCGUGCGUGAAAGACCCCGGCUCAACUGGGGAGGGUCGUGCGAAACGAGUGAACUAGAGGCCAGUAGGGGGAUGCGGAAUUCCGGGUGUAGUGGUGGAAUGCGUAGAGAUCCGGAGGAACACCAGCGGCGAAGGCGGCAUCCUGGACUGGUCCUGACACUCAGGAGCGAAAGCGUGGGGAGCGAUCCGG